UCAUCCCCAUGGAGUUGCAGCAGAAUAGAUUUAAGUCAUGUUUCUCCGGAGCGCAGUGAAGUGGAUUGAAGCAACGAGACACAGCAGAACAGAAUAAGGCUACUUGAAGAAGAUGAGCACCAAAAAGUCAAGCCUCGGCGAGACCAGGCAAAUUUGGUCUUUCUUGGUCUUUGCUCUGUUCUCGUUACACGAAAACGAGCAAAGAGGGGCAACUGUAGAAGCCCAAAUUUGCCGGGCCAAGUGCCAAAAAUAAAACAAAAUAAAUAAAAUGCCACAGUCCAUUAAAGCAGGCCAAUAUGGCCUAAAUCAGAAAAUAAAAUACCCGGGCCCAUACCAGCAAAAUAGACCCAAAUAAUAAAAACAAAAGCAACCCAUUUUCAGCCAAUUUAAACCCAAAAACUACAAGCCCAAAUGCCCAAUAUUAAUAAAAACCCUAGAGGCCCGAAUGGCCCAAAACUACACCAACUUUCAAACACAAAAAGAAACCUCAGCCGCAUGUUGUUGCUGCCACCUCCUGCGCACGCCCACCGCCGCUACUCGCCAAUCGCUGGCUUCGCGUGUCCACGCGUCUGACACCAUCUGCCGCUGCAUGCUCCUCCUCCACUACCAGCACCUCCAUGCCCUGCAAGAUCAAGACAAAAAAAAUAGGAUAGAAUAAUAGAAAAAGGAUGUAAAAAGGGGUUAUAAAACCCGAAAUGAAG
rnacentral:lncRNA from 1 species